rnacentral:rRNA from 1 species
UCCUACGGGGCGCAGCAGUGGGGAAUAUUGCACAAUGGGGGGAACCCUGAUGCAGCGACGCCGCGUGGGUGAAGGAGUACUUCGGUACGUAAAGCCCUAUCAGCAGGAAAGAAAAUGACGGUACCUGACUAAGAAGCCCCGGCUAACUACGUGCCAGCAGCCGCGGUAAUACGUAGGGGGCAAGCGUUAUCCGGAUUUACUGGGUGUAAAGGGAGCGUAGACGGCUGUGCAAGUCUGAAGUGAAAGCCCAGGGCUCAACCCUGGGACUGCUUUGGAAACUGUGGAGCUAGAGUGCUG